rnacentral:sRNA from 1 species
GUGCAAAUGUUGAAGUUCUGUUUUGAUCUUUGCGGAGUUCAGUGAUGCUAUGCAC